AGCAGCCGCGGUAAUUCCAGCUCCAAUAGCGUAUAUUAAAGUUGCUGCAGUUAAAAAAGCUCGUAGUUGAAUUUCGGGAUCGAUAUAUCGGUCGUGCCUCGGUACGUACUGGUAUUUUCGGUUUCUCCCUUCUGACGAACCUUGAUGUCAUUAAUUUGGUGUCUUGGGGAAUCAGGACUGUUACUUUGAAAAAAUUAGAGUGUUUAAAGCAGGCUCACGCUUGAAUACAUUAGCAUGGAAUAAUGAAAUAGGACGUUUGAUUCUAUUUUGUUGGUUUCUAGGAUCGACGUAAUGAUUAAUAGGGAUAGUUGGGGGCAUUAGUAUUCAAUUGUCAGAGGUGAAAUUCUUGGAUUUAUUGAAGACUAACUACUGCGAAAGCAGUUGCCAAGGAUGGUUUCAUUAAUCAAGAACGAAAGUUAGGGGAUCGAAGACGAUCAGAUACCGUCGUAGUCUUAACCAUAAACUAUGCCGACUAGGGAUCGGAUGAUGUUAAUUUUUAAUGACUCAUUCGGCGCCUUAC
rnacentral:rRNA from 1 species